rnacentral:rRNA from 1 species
GGUUAAGCGACUAAGCGUACACGGUGGAUGCCCUGGCAGUCAGAGGCGAUGAAGGACGUGCUAAUCUGCGAAAAGCGUCGGUAAGGUGAUAUGAACCGUUAUAGCCGGCGAUGUCCGAAUGGGGAAACCCAGUGUGAUUCGUCACACUAUCGUUAACUGAAUACAUAGGUUAACGAGGCGAACCGGGGGAACUGAAACAUCUAAGUACCCCGAGGAAAAGAAAUCAACCGAGAUUCCCCCAGUAGCGGCGAGCGAACGGGGAGCAGCCCAGAGUCUGAAUCAGCUUGUGUGUUAGUGGAACGGUCUGGAAAGUCCGACGGUACAGGGUGAUAGUCCCGUACACCAAAAUGCACAGGCUGUGAACUCGAAGAGUAGGGCGGGACACGUGGUAUCCUGUCUGAAUAUGGGGGGACCAUCCUCCAAGGCUAAAUACUCCUGACUGACCGAUAGUGAACCAGUACCGUGAGGGAAAGGCGAAAAGAACCCCGGCGAGGGGAGUGAAAAAGAACCUGAAACCGUGUACGUACAAGCAGUGGGAGCACCUUCGGGUGUGACUGCGUACCUUUUGUAUAAUGGGUCAGCGACUUAUAUUCUGUAGCAAGGUUAACCGUAUAGGGGAGCCGCAGGGAAACCGAGUCUUAACUGGGCGUUAAGUUGCAGGGUAUAGACCCGAAACCCGGUGAUCUAGCCAUGGGCAGGUUGAAGGUUGGGUAACACUAACUGGAGGACCGAACCGACUAAUGUUGAAAAAUUAGCGGAUGACUUGUGGCUGGGGGUGAAAGGCCAAUCAAACCGGGAGAUAGCUGGUUCUCCCCGAAAGCUAUUUAGGUAGCGCCUCGUGAAUUCAUCUUCGGGGGUAGAGCACUGUUUCGGCUAGGGGGUCAUCCCGACUUACCAACCCGAUGCAAACUACGAAUACCGAAGAAUGUUAUCACGGGAGACACACGGCGGGUGCUAACGUCCGUCGUGAAGAGGGAAACAACCCAGACCGCCAGCUAAGGUCCCAAAGUCAUGGUUAAGUGGGAAACGAUGUGGGAAGGCACAGACAGCCAGGAUGUUGGCUUAGAAGCAGCCAUCAUUUAAAGAAAGCGUAAUAGCUCACUGGUCGAGUCGGCCUGCGCGGAAGAUGUAACGGGGCUAAACCAUGCACCGAAGCUGCGGCAGCGACACUAUGUGUUGUUGGGUAGGGGAGCGUUCUGUAAGCCUGCGAAGGUGUGCUGUGAGGCAUGCUGGAGGUAUCAGAAGUGCGAAUGCUGACAUAAGUAACGAUAAAGCGGGUGAAAAGCCCGCUCGCCGGAAGACCAAGGGUUCCUGUCCAACGUUAAUCGAGGCAGGGUGAGUCGACCCCUAAGGCGAGGCCGAAAGGCGUAGUCGAUGGGAAACAGGUUAAUAUUCCUGUACUUGGUGUUACUGCGAAGGGGGGACGGAGAAGGCUAUGUUAGCCGGGCGACGGUUGUCCCGGUUUAAGCAUGUAGGCUGGUUGUCCAGGCAAAUCCGGAUAAUCAAGGCUGAGGUGUGAUGACGAGGCACUACGGUGCUGAAGUAACAAAUGCCCUGCUUCCAGGAAAAGCCUCUAAGCAUCAGGUAACAUCAAAUCGUACCCCAAACCGACACAGGUGGUCAGGUAGAGAAUACCAAGGCGCUUGAGAGAACUCGGGUGAAGGAACUAGGCAAAAUGGUGCCGUAACUUCGGGAGAAGGCACGCUGGUGUGUAGGUGAAGUCCCUGCGGAUGGAGCUGAGACCAGUCGAAGAUACCAGCUGGCUGCAACUGUUUAUUAAAAACACAGCACUGUGCAAACACGAAAGUGGACGUAUACGGUGUGACGCCUGCCCGGUGCCGGAAGGUUAAUUGAUGGGGUUAUCCGUAAGGAGAAGCUCUUGAUCGAAGCCCCGGUAAACGGCGGCCGUAACUAUAACGGUCCUAAGGUAGCGAAAUUCCUUGUCGGGUAAGUUCCGACCUGCACGAAUGGCGUAAUGAUGGCCAGGCUGUCUCCACCCGAGACUCAGUGAAAUUGAACUCGCUGUGAAGAUGCAGUGUACCCGCGGCAAGACGGAAAGACCCCGUGAACCUUUACUAUAGCUUGACACUGAACAUUGAGCCUUGAUGUGUAGGAUAGGUGGGAGGCUUUGAAGCGUGGACGCCAGUCUGCGUGGAGCCAACCUUGAAAUACCACCCUUUAAUGUUUGAUGUUCUAACGUUGGCCCCUUACCGGGGUUGCGGACAGUGUCUGGUGGGUAGUUUGACUGGGGCGGUCUCCUCCCAAAGCGUAACGGAGGAGCACGAAGGUUAGCUAAUCCUGGUCGGACAUCAGGAGGUUAGUGCAAUGGCAUAAGCUAGCUUGACUGCGAGCGUGACGGCGCGAGCAGGUGCGAAAGCAGGUCAUAGUGAUCCGGUGGUUCUGAAUGGAAGGGCCAUCGCUCAACGGAUAAAAGGUACUCCGGGGAUAACAGGCUGAUACCGCCCAAGAGUUCAUAUCGACGGCGGUGUUUGGCACCUCGAUGUCGGCUCAUCACAUCCUGGGGCUGAAGUAGGUCCCAAGGGUAUGGCUGUUCGCCAUUUAAAGUGGUACGCGAGCUGGGUUUAGAACGUCGUGAGACAGUUCGGUCCCUAUCUGCCGUGGGCGCUGGAGAAUUGAGGGGGGCUGCUCCUAGUACGAGAGGACCGGAGUGGACGCAUCACUGGUGUUCGGGUUGUCAUGCCAAUGGCACUGCCCGGUAGCUAAAUGCGGAAGAGAUAAGUGCUGAAAGCAUCUAAGCACGAAACUUGCCCCGAGAUGAGUUCUCCCUGAGACUUUAAGUCUCCUGAAGGAACGUUGAAGACGACGACGUUGAUAGGCCGGGUGUGUAAGCGCAGCGAUGCGUUGAGCUAACCGGUACUAAUGAACCGUGAGGCUUAACCUU